rnacentral:rRNA from 1 species
UACGGGGGGGGCAAGCGUUGUUCGGAAUUACUGGGCGUAAAGGGCUCGUAGGCGGCCAACUAAGUCAGACGUGAAAUCCCUCGGCUUAACCGGGGAACUGCGUCUGAUACUGGAUGGCUUGAGUCCGGUAGGGGAGCAUGGAAUUCCUGGUGUAGCAGUGAAAUGCGUAGAUAUCAGGAGGAAUACCGAUGGCGAAGGCAGGUCUCUGGGCUGACACUGACGCUCAUGCACGAAAGCGUGGGGAGCAAACAGG